CACGUGCACGUGCGAUGAGAAAAUCGCAGGAAAAAAAAAAAAAAAAACUCCAAGAUCCACUGCUAGCUUGUUCAUUUUCCAUCAGUCAGGCUGAUCGAUCUCAAUAUCCUCGCUCUAUCUACAGUAUUGUCGUCGAUAUUUUCUAUUGGAAUUUUAUCUUCACCUGAACCCUAGAAAUUGAUCGUUCAAUCUUUGAACUCAAGCCACGGAAGCUUCAGCCACGGCUUUCAUGGCGGUUUUGGAGUCGGAUCUUCACGCCUUGUCUGCUGAAGCUCGACGGCGGUACCCCGCUGUUAAGGACGGCGCAGAGCAUGCCAUAUUAAAGCUUCGUUCAUUGUAAUUCCUAGCGAAAUUGCACAUAAUGAGUACAUUCUACUGAUUUUUUUGAUGGCUAGUAUGGUCAGAACUGUCAAGCUGAGUGUAAUUGGACUUUCAUGUCUACAAAAGCUCAUAUCCCAUGAUUCAGUUGCUCCAUCAGCUUUGAAGGAGAUACUUUUCACACUGAAAGAUCAUGCUGAAAUGGCAGAUGAGAGUGUUCAACUCAAGACCCUUCAGGCUAUAUUAAUCAUACUUCAGUCACGGUUACAUCUAGAGAAUGAGGUGAUAAUCAAGUAUUGUAAAUGAUGUAUGUAAAAUCUGUUCCAAAUAUUGUCUUUUACUGUAUCUAUGUUCUACAGAUUAGGUAUUGAAGUGAAAACACAUGAAUGCGGGUCUUACGCACUGGAUUAUGGUAAAUAUGUUGAUAAUAUUUAGGAGAAACAUUGGCAGAUGUGAUAUAUUCUGAUAUCUGUGGAAAGUUCAGCAUUUUAAGGUCUAUCACCAAUACGAUUGACAAGUAAAUUAUAUAUAUGUUGCCAUGUCUAUGAGUGCACAUACUGAUUUGGGUUUUGUUGCUUAUUUGGUUGAAAAACUGUAGAAACACACCUUAUCUUGCCUUCUUGUCUUGUGUCUGCUACAUUUUAAGGGUCAUAAUUGGUAAAGGCAUGCCUGAGGUGUGCUUGAGGUUCAAGAUGCACAGGGUGCUGUUGGCCAACUUGGCCCUGGCUCCUACAGGCAGGUUACCUUCAGCAGGAAUACACUUUAUGGCUUAGGUGCGAGCAGUUUUGUGCAUGUAGGAUAUGUGAAGAAGGUUUCUGUGAAAAAUUUUCUAGCCAUCAUAGCUAAAGCACAGAUUUAGUGUAAUAAUGUUAUCUGCUUUUCUAUCAAGUUUUAAUUUUGAUUGGGCUUGGGAUGGGGGUGUUACAAGUGCUGUGCCUAAUUUGUUGUAUUUGUGUCAGGAGAAUAUGGCUCAAGCCCUUUACAUAUGUCUUCAGCUUCUUGAAAAUAACAGAUCCUCUGACAUUGUGUGAAAGUACGUUAAAAUUUUUAAUUUGUUAGCAAUCAGUAUUAACUGAUGAGAGGCCUUCUGCUUACUUGUAUUUUCUGUUACUAUUUCCAGUACUGCUGCUGCUACCUUCAGACAGGCAGUAGCUUUAAUUUUUGAUCUUGUGGUUCAUGCUGAGGCUCUUCCUGUAGGAAAGUUUGGUUCUGGAGGUCAUAUUUAUCGAUCCAGCUCAGUUACUGAUUAUGUUAGUCACAGUAUCAAUCAUUCGGAGUAUGUUAACCAUCAUAAAUAUCAUCUGUGAAUCAAACAUUAUAACCCUUGUGUCUUAAUGCCUAUCUGUUUUAUAAAUUGCAAAUGUAAUAUACAUACAUUGAUACUGUGUCACUCAAUAGAUUUGUGUGCUGCUGUAUAUGGUAUGUAUAUGUUUUCAACGAAUAAUAAUUUAAUUUGAAUUUGCAGAGUGGUCCUUUUUUUUGUGGGAUGAGGGGUAGAAUUGGUUCUUAUGUCCUAUAAGGGAAAAAAACUCCUGGUGUAAGAUUUCCAGGUAUGAUCUCUGGCAUAUCCAUAAAUCUAACCCAAGAAUGAACAUGUUGUUUGGGCAAGAACCUAUUUCUGGACAGCAAUCAUUGACUCGGGGGAUCCUAACAAAUGCUGGAAAGCUGGGCUUCAUUUACUUGAAGACCUGACAGCUCUUGCUGCAGGUGGCUCUGUAUGUGCUAUUUGAGACUAUUAGAGAGUUCCAUCAACUAACUUAUUCAUCUGGUGUUUAUUAUUAUAGGAUAUUUGGAAUUGCUUGAGUCUCAAAUUAUGCGGUUCAAUUUUAACAAAACUUUUCUUCAUCUUGCAGGCAAUUUGGUUACACGUAAAUUCUCUUCAAUGGAUAUUUGCACUUGGUUCAUUCUGUCCAAUUAUGUUGUUAUUUUCAAGACCAUGGAUCCUUAUGAACAGGUUAUGCGUCACCAGAUUUUUUCACUUUUGAUGACUUCACUUCGUACCAAUGCUAAGAGCGAUGGAGAAGCAGGAGAACCUUCUUUUCGUUGGUUGGUCUUGCGAUCAGUUGCUCAUAUUAUCAGACUAUACAGUUCAUCCCUUAUUACUGAGUGUGAGUUAUGACAAUGAAGCUGGUGAUUGUAACUUGAUGAGUUCUGAAGUCAGCAAAAUCUCAGUGAGGGUUCUUUCGACUAGAUGUGAAUAUAUCUUGAACUGAUUUCUGAUGGAUGAGAAGGAACUAGGCGAAAGACCAUUACCAUCAGCAAGGCUUGAAGAAAUUUUCUAUGUCCUUCAAGAACAGCUCAUCUAAGAAUAAAUCCGGAAACAGUAUCUGUUCUUCCGUUACAUCCCAAUUUGGGAGGUGUCCUAGCAGAUGAGGAUGAUCACAAAAAAUGUCUGCAUCUGUUUGUUCUAUUUUCUACCCUCUGCAAUCUUAUAAUAACAAGUUGACCUUCUAAACCAUGACCCUCUGCCUUCUUUGGUUCAAUAACUGAACUGGUUUUGAAAAUGUUGUUCAAUACAAUGCUAGAAUUGGCAAGUUCAAAAUAAUUCAAGGAAAAAAAUUAUUAGAGGCUGUAUGAUUUGACUCUUUGAAGGUUUGUAAUUGAAUAGGCUGGGGAAGGAUUUGGCUGUUAUUUAACAACAAUGCUAGAAUUGGAAAUUUCAAAAGAAUAGGGGGAAAAAGCUAUGAGAAGCUGUAGAAUUUGUGAAUUGUGAAGGUUGUAAUUGAAUAGGUUGACAAUGGAUUUGUGCUUUUAUUUAAUGUCACCAUGAUGAGUGUGACAACUCACAACUAGUUGUGAAGCACAUUGCAGUAAUACACAUUCAUAUGAACAGAAACGUGUGCUUGCAUGUAUGCACGACAAAAUGCACAUGCAUACAAGUUAACUUACAAAUUGAGAUUACAUUUGUGCGCAUGAAUGUCAUCCUUCUUGUGCAGGGAAGUUAAGAGUGAGAAAGUUGGUGCAAGUGUUGCCAAGGCUCGUCGCUAAAGAACUAGUGCUUGAAAAGGUUGGUAUUGCCAGUUGAUAAAUGGAAGAAUGCAUUUUCACAAUGAUCAAGUGCAAAAUUAAAUUUUAGGGGCAUUACUUGUUUAUGGAUACAGUACAGGUGAGGAUUUUCGUUUUGCUGUCCUCCACUGUCUAGUUUAGUAUGAUAUAGGUUUGUACAUUGUGGGAUUUUGUUAUACUUGAGGCACUGAACUAGAGUGAACAUUUCAUGGGCCAGGAUGAUAAAAACAAGGUAUACAAUUAUAGGGUACAAAAGGUUUCACUGGCGGCUUGUGUGAAUUGUAGGCAUGAUCCUUGUAGCCGUGAUGUUAUAUUCUAGUGGAGAGUGAUGGUGUGAUACUGAAAUGAUGCUACAAUUAUAAGCGAAAUAAAGUUCACUCGUUAUGUCAAA